GGGGAGAAGGUUCGCACUUUUGCACUCCCAAACCGGAACGCGGCAGGGCAGGCGGCAGCAAAGCCACUGAAAAAAGUUUUGAAAGCGGAGUUGGAAAUCUGGGAAAGGUUCUACUAUCUUUGCAACCCGCUUCAACCGGAAGCCGGGCUUAGCUAGAAAAAAAGUUUGUUUCUAGCUUGCAAACGAAGAAAAGAAAGCCUUACCUUUGCAACCCGCUUCGAUCGGAAGCCAGCGAGUCACGUGGAAAAGUUCUAAAAAGAAAUUUUCCACGACGCUUGCAGAAAGCAAAAAGGUUCUUACCUUUGCAGCCCGCUUCCACCGGAAGCGCCUUGGUUCAGAAUGCCACUGACAGGUUCGAAAAAAAACUUCGAAACUAGAUUUGGAAAGCCACUAAAAAGCUGCUUACCUUUGCCACCCGCUUCAACCGGAAGGGGGGUGGGAAAACGAGAAGAGAAAACGAAAACAAAUUUUUUUCGCCUUUCGCUUGUCACUUCGAAAAAGCUGCUUACCUUUGCAACCCGCUUCGACUGGAAGCACGGAAAACAAAGCAAAACAUACGGCCAGCAGCGCUGGCACACGGUUUCCUAAAUGAGGAAGCACACGUUCUUUGAAUGAUUGGAAUUGACAAAUUUGGUAAGCGUUUUUAAGAGCUUCGGCUUUUAGAAACAACCAAGCGUAACAAACGAAUAAUAGCUCGUCAAUACGGGUCGGAUCAGCACUCGACAUGGCCUCUCUUUCGAGAGAGGUAGCAAGUAAUUUUACAAUGGAGAGUUUGAUCCUGGCUCAGGAUGAACGCUAGCGGCAGGCCUAAUACAUGCAAGUCGAACGGUGGUAGCAAUACCAUAGUGGCGCACGGGUGCGUAACGCGUAACCAACCUGCCCUUGACUGGGGGAUAGCCCGCCGAAAGGCGGAUUAAUACCGCAUAAACCAACAGCCUGGCAUCAGGCAAUUGGUAAAGAUUUAUUGGUCAAGGAUGGGGUUGCGUGACAUUAGCUAGUUGGCGGGGUAACGGCCCACCAAGGCGACGAUGUCUAGGGGACCUGAGAGGGUGAUCCCCCACACUGGCACUGAGAUACGGGCCAGACUCCUACGGGAGGCAGCAGUAGGGAAUAUUGGGCAAUGGGCGAGAGCCUGACCCAGCCAUGCCGCGUGCCGGAUGAAGGCCUUCUGGGUUGUAAACGGCUUUUCUCAGGGAAGAAAAAGACCAUGCGUGGUACACUGACGGUACCUGAGGAAUAAGCACCGGCUAACUCCGUGCCAGCAGCCGCGGUAAUACGGAGGGUGCAAGCGUUGUCCGGAUUUAUUGGGUUUAAAGGGUGCGUAGGUGGCCUUGUAAGUCCGUGGUGAAAGCCUCUCGCUUAACGAGAGAACUGCCAUGGAUACUGCAAGGCUUGAGUCCAGACGAGGUUGGCGGAAUGGAUGGUGUAGCGGUGAAAUGCAUAGAUACCAUCCAGAACCCCGAUUGCGUAGGCAGCUGACUAGGCUGGUACUGACACUGAGGCACGAAAGCGUGGGGAGCGAACAGGAUUAGAUACCCUGGUAGUCCACGCCGUAAACGAUGGAUACUCGUUGCUAGCGAUAUACAGUUAGUGACUUAGCGAAAGCGUUAAGUAUCCCACCUGGGGAGUACGCCCGCAAGGGUGAAACUCAAAGGAAUUGACGGGGGCCCGCACAAGUGGUGGAGCAUGUGGUUUAAUUCGAUGAUACGCGAGGAACCUUACCUAGGCUAGAAUGCGCGUGACCGGCUCAGAGAUGAGCCUUUCCUUCGGGACACAAAGCAAGGUGCUGCAUGGCCGUCGUCAGCUCGUGCCGUGAGGUGUUGGGUUAAGUCCCGCAACGAGCGCAACCCCUACAUUUAGUUGCCAGCGGAUUAUGCCGGGGACUCUAGAUGGACUGCCUGCGCAAGCAGUGAGGAAGGCGGGGACGACGUCAGGUCAUCAUGGCCCUUACGCCUAGGGCUACACACGUGCUACAAUGGACGGUACAGAGGGUCGCUACACAGUGAUGUGACGCCAAUCUCAAAAAACCGUUCUCAGUUCGGAUCGAAGUCUGCAACUCGACUUCGUGAAGCUGGAAUCACUAGUAAUCGCGUAUCAGCAAUGACGCGGUGAAUACGUUCCCGGGCCUUGUACACACCGCCCGUCAAGCCAUGGAAGUCUGGUAGACCUGAAGCUGGUGCUCGUUAAAGAAGCCAGUUAGGGUAGAACAGGUAACUGGGGCUAAGUCGUAACAAGGUAGCCGUACCGGAAGGUGCGGCUGGAUCACCUCCUUUCU
rnacentral:rRNA from 1 species